UUUCAGGCGCACUCUGUUUCCCUCUCUGGUUUUGACAUGUGCCACUCUGUCUAGCCAAGGGCUUUUCUACCAGGUCAUGCGUUCCUCUCUUUUUUUAGGCUUCAGAACUUGCAGCUUUAAUUCAGACAAAGAGGGAACUUGGUUGUAGAGCUACUUAUAUCCAAACCAUUGAAGAAGGAAUUAAUACACACACUCAUGCAGCCAAAGGCUUCUGGAAGCUUCUGGGCGGCCAAACCAGUUACCAGUCUGCUGGAGACCCAAAAGAAGAUGAACUCUGUGAAGCAGCCAUAAUAGAAACUAACUGCAUUUACCGCCUCAUGGAUGACAAACUUGUGCCUGAUGACGACUACUGGGGGAAAAUUCCAAAGUGUUCCCUUCUGCAGCCCACAGAGGUACUGGUGUUUGAUUUUGGUAGUGAAGUUUACGUGUGGCAUGGGAAAGAAGUCACGUUAGCACAAUGAAAAAUAGCAUUUCAGCUGGCAAAGCACUUAUGGAAUGGAACGUUUGACUAUGAGAACUGUGACAUCAAUCCGCUGGAUCCUGGAGAAUGCAAUCCGCUGAUCCCCAGGUACCCCUGCCACCGCCCAGGAUGGCAGAUUCCAUUCGAUCCUCUGUUCUCACCGCAGUCCUCUACUCUCGCUCUUUAUAGGGUUCACUUUUCAUAAACCAUUAUAUGCAGUGGACCGUGAAUAUUCACAGAAGGAACACUUCUUUUACUUUUAUCCAACUACUGCAGAAAUAUGGAUGCUGUAGUCUUCUGGAAGAGGUUUAUGUGAUAGUUGAUUUUUUGAAGUGAGCAGGCGAUGCUGCAAGUUCCCACCUGCGGCACUCCAGGUGCUGCUGUGGCAGAUGAACAGCAAUUGUUUAAACAAAUCACAUGCGGAUCUAAAAGGCUUCACCAGAUCUGGAAUUCAGCCACUGAUGUGAAGGUGCAGAAGCAACAUGCUUC
rnacentral:lncRNA from 1 species